rnacentral:rRNA from 1 species
AACGAACGCUGGCGGCGCGUCUUAAGCAUGCAGUCGAACGGCAAGAGAGGAGCUUGCUUCUCUCCUAGAGUGGCGGACUGGUGAGGAACACGUGGGUAAUCUACCCUUAAGAUGGGGAUAGCUGCUAGAAAUAGCAGAUAAUACCGAAUACACUCAAUAUUUCAUAAGAAGUAUGAGGAAAGGAAGCUACGGCUUCGCUUGAGGAUGAGCUUGCGUCCCAUUAGCUAGUUGGUGAGGUAAAGGCCCACCAAGGCAACGAUGGGUAUCCGGCCUGAGAGGGUGAACGGACACAUUGGGACUGAGAUACGGCCCAAACUCCUACGGGAGGCAGCAGCUAAGAAUAUUCCGCAAUGGACGGAAGUCUGACGGAGCGACGCCGCGUGGAUGAAGAAGGCUGAAAAGUUGUAAAAUCCUUUGUGGUGAAGAAUAAGGAUGAGAGGGAUGCUCAUCUGAUGACGGUAAUCAGCGAAUAAGCCCGCUAAUUAACC